rnacentral:snoRNA from 1 species
AAACCAUGAUUGGGGCAUUUUCUCAAUAGCACCUGAAAAUGCUCCCAAGCUUUAUAAAAUGCUUCAUCUGCACCUUUCCGAAAAGUUGAUAUCUUAAACUUGGCAU